AUUUUGGCUUAUAUGGACGCCUUUCUUUUCCCCAACGCAGUUAAGCCAAAACUACGCCCCGUUAUUCAGCGCAGAGACAGUGACCUUCCAAGCGACGGGGAUAUUGGAAACAAGAAGACUGAGAGCAAGGUGGAUGGAGAGACCCAGAAGAAGAGCCGCAAUUUCCUCCUAGAGUCCGGGUCAGCCUCCAGCGAGUCAGACUGUGACUUCAACCCAGAGGAAGAGGGGGACCCCGUAUCUCAACUAAAACCUAAAUGCCCUCCUCCUGCCUGUAUGGCACCCCCCUCUGAGUCCCGGACCCCUCUCCUCCCCGCAUCCUCUAGUUCCCUCUCCCACAAACUCCCCCCUCCACCCCUCGGGGCCUCAUCCAAGAGUGGCGUAUUCGCCAACCCCUUUAAGGCGCAAGCCGACCAGAAGCUCAACGUCUUGCAGAAGCACGUCCCUCUCACUCUGCUGGCCCGGCCCUCCCAGAUAGGAGGCAAGAGGAUGUGCGUGGCGUACAGGAAGGACGGACGCUGCAGGUUCGGGAUCAAAUGCAAGUUUGCCCAUGACAGCGACCUCCAGAGCUCCAUCAUUCCCAAUGAGUAUGACCCCCCUGCGGGUGACGAUCCCGGAUCGGACCAAGCUGACCCCAACGCGGGGGGCUUUUCAUACAUGGGUCGCCAGAACUUUCACCACAACCAGGGAGGAGACCCUGAAGAGGAGGGUCAGCAGUCUAGGAAGAGGAGAGUAGGGCUGAGUAACACCCUAGUGCCUCCUAAAAGGUCAAUGAAGAAUUAUGCAAUGCAGAGGAAGAGAGAACAGGUCAAUUUGAACUGAGUGACUUGCACAGGGAUACUGUCAGCAGCAAUAUACUGUGUGUGUGUGUGUGUGUGUGUGUGUGUGUGUGUGUGUGUGUGUGUGUGUGUGUGUGUGUGUGUGUGUGUGUGUGCGCACCCUCACAUCGUUUUAGUGUGUGACAGAGAAAAUGGGAAUAUGUUCCAAUUUUGUACCCUUAUUCUGCACUCAUUUACUCCCCCUCAUGGAUGUAAAAGGAAUGGACUGGUGUAAAAUAGGGUUUAAACUUCUCCCUACCCAUGAUUACAUUAAUGUAAUGGAGUGAGUGCAAACUUCUGUUAGAAGAGAAGAUAAUCAGACCACAGCCAGAGAGUAUUCUAUAGGAUACCUAUAGCACACUUCCACAUUUCUGUUCAGUCCAGUACAUAUACUUCAGAUUGGUAGUUUCUACAUGAAACGUUUAUGUAGUUUCAUUGAAAACGUAUUCCUUUCUGUAAGAAACUGUCCAUUGGAAAUAUAAGCUACAAUUUGUCAUUGUUAAAUAAAUGCUUUAAAUGUUUGUAACUUGUGUUUGUGAUCACUUAAUGAUGAAUGGGCAUAGGAACUGGCGAUACGAAUAAAGUUAUGGAUCGAGUUCAGGAAAAUAUAGAAUUAUUGAUGAAAGUGGAUUUAAACUUUUGCUUUGAUUAGAGAAAGAUUGAAAGAAGAGGCAGCACAGGGUUACUUUUUUGGAUCAGUUGCAACACACUCCGGCAUCAGUCACAAUGUAAGCACACACACUUAGCUCCUGCUUUUUGGGAUGGAUCUAUUGGAGCUUCUACACACCAGUGAAUGACGCUUCUCUUUUGGAGUCCAAAGCCAAAAACUGCAAUGAAAGCUAAGAUCGAGCGGAACAGACAGCGGGCUCUGAUGCUGAGGCAAUCCCCGACUGGCUAGUAGACCAUUGGCAAGAGAGCGGGGUGGCACCUCGGCUAAAGUCGCAAAAAACAGUCGACUUUGGAGGAGGGUUCUUCAUUGAUGGAGAGGGACAGGAGGAGCAAAGGGGAGCUAAGGUGGCGCAUCAACCAGAGCUGUGUCGUGCAGUGAGGAGCAGCAUGAGGACAAAGGACACCAGUGCUCACCAGCACGGCACUGAGGAACUAGUGGAUAAAGAGGAUCUCUACAGGAAGGUCUGUAACACCUGUGGACACGAACUGACCUAUGAGAAGAUGUAGCUUAGUGUCCUUUAAACCUUAUCUCGGGGUCCCACAGGGUGAAUUAUUUUUUUGUGGACCACUGGUAGACGCCGGACACAAAACUGAGAUUCAAAUCACUUACUAUGUACUUGACCCAAUUCCUUGCUGAAGCAAGGAGGCAGGCCUUCCUGAAAUCUUAUACAUGCCAUGUUGUGCUGCUGUUAAACUAUAAAAUAUCAACUUAAUCAUUUCCCUUUUAUAUUGAC
rnacentral:lncRNA from 1 species